GUGCUCACUUGAGCAGCACAUAGGUUAAAAUCAGAACCGCGCAGAGAAGAUUAGCAUGGCCCUCCGGGCAAAGAUGGCAUGCAAAUUUGUGAAGCGUUCCACGUUUUC